rnacentral:rRNA from 1 species
CAAAAACAUAGCCUUAAGCUUUAUUUAAGGUGAAGCCUGCCCAGUGCUUAUUGUUAACGGCCGCAGUACCUUGACUGUGCUAAGGUAGCAUAAUCAGUUGGCUUUUAAAUGGAGUCGGGAAUGAAUGGACCAAUGGAGUAAAGCUGUCUCCCCUACACUAAAUUUAAUUUACUUAUUAAGUGAAAAUGCUUAAACAAAGAAAAAAGACGAGAAGACCCUAGGAGUUUUUAUUAAGGCCUAGUUAUCUAGGUUACAUUUUUGUUGGGGCGACAAAGGGGCAAAAAUUAAACCCCCUCUAAUAAAUCUGCCGACAGUGUAUGAAAAAUUAAACUACCCUAGGGAUAACAGCGUAAUUCUUUUUGAGCUUGCGACCUCGAUGUUGGACUAGGAAUUUGAUGGGCUAGCCGCCCAUUAUAAUUGUUCUGUUCGAACUAUUUUUCCUACGUGAUCUG